UACGUAGGGCGCAAGCGUUGUCCGGAAUUAUUGGGCGUAAAGAGCGUGUAGGCGGCUUGGUAAGUCCGCUGUGAAAGUCCAGGGCUCAACCCUGGAAUGCCGGUGGAAACUGUCAAGCUUGAGUCCGGAAGAGGCGAGUGGAAUUCCUGGUGUAGCGGUGAAAUGCGCAGAUAUCAGGAGGAACACCAAUGGCGAAGGCAGCUCGCUGGGACGGUACUGACGCUGAGACGCGAAAGCGUGGGGAGCAAACAGG
rnacentral:rRNA from 1 species